AAGCGGCUGCAAGAGCUUCAAGCUGUGUCUUUCCGGGUCCAGCGCCUGCUGCGAGCAACGCGCUGUUCUAGGGGCGAAGCCGAGAACUACUUCUCGUGGAGCUGAGGUUCAGCGGUGUGUGUGUGGGACACUCACAAUAAACAUCAUAAAUAAGUAAAUUCUAUAAGAGGCUGCGUAGCAAAAUGGAGUCUGCAUCCAGAUUUAUUGGGUUUCAAUCCCAGAUUUGCCACUUACUAGCUGUGUUACGCCGAGCAAAUUGCUUCAUCCUUCUGUGCUUCACUUUCCUCCUCAGUUAAAUGAGGAUCAUCAUAGUGUCUACUUCAGAGUUGGUGUGAGAGUUGAAUGAGGAUACUCUCUGUGAGCCCAGCUGCCAUGUUGUGAGGAAGCCCAAGCCACGUGAAGAGUCUCCCAGAUAAGGUCCCAGCCGAAACCAGCAUCAACCACCAGAGAAGUAAGUGAGAGAACAUUGAGAUGAUUCCAGCCCCCAGGAUUUGAGCCAUCCCAGCUGACACCAAGAGGAGCAGAGAGAGAACUGUUCCCAGCAAGCCCGGCCCAAACUACAGCAGGGGACUUCCCUGGUGGCGCAGUGGUUAAGAAUCCACCUGCCAAUGCAGGGGACAUGGGUUCGAGCCCUGGUCCGGGAAGAUCCCACAUGCCGUGGAGAAACUAAGCCCGUGUGCCACACCUACUGAGCCCACGUGCCUAGAACCCAUGCUCCACAACAAGAGAAGCCACCGCAAUGAGAAGCCCGCGCACUGCAACGAAGACCCAACGUAGCCAAAAAAUAAAUAAUAACUACUUCCUCAAGUCCAUGGGCGACACUCAACUUGAGCUAAGAACGGGGAGUAAACACUCAGCAGAAGUAAAGCACAUCGAACGGAUAAGACAUUGGCCAUAAAUGCUUCUGACAGCGCCCCAGCCCAGUCGGGCCAGGCGGAUUCCUGAGCGGGGAGCUCCAACUCCCAUGGGGAACCAAGAGCAAACACCGGGUUUUUACGUGAAUCUCCAGAUUUUUUUUUUUAAACCUUGUCAAUAAAUUCACAUCAAACAAACAAACAAAA